rnacentral:lncRNA from 1 species
AUUUUGUUUUUCAAGACAAACCCACGCUGGCCUCGAACUCAUGGCAGUCCCUCUGCCUGGGCUCCAAAGCGCUGAGAUUACAUGAGUUGACCGCUAUGCUCCCCUUGUCCGAAGGACACCUUUCCCCUCGGAACUGUAACAUUUAUGGUGUCCUGACCUGAAGAGGCUCCUCCUCCUGUCUGUGCACCCCCUUGGGGUCUGAGCCAUACUGAGACCCAUCCUUCACCUCCAGUCCAUCUGCAGCAGACUGGCGUUCUGACUCACGGAUAGCUCAGCGCCUCCCCUCUCAGCCCCCCAGGCCCCAUCCACCAGCGGCAUUAGGUUUCCCCAGGCUAAGCCCCUGGCCCCUGUUAGAUGUGCUGACCAACCCACUUAACGACUUGGUCCUCCUGGCUUGUGUCUUCCUCUGGUCCUCCCUGAAUCCUGGGGAUGCUUGUGACUACAGACUACGGUGACAUUUUUCCUUCCCACCCCCUCUCUUAUCCAUGGGAGCAGUAUCGUUCGUACCCUCUCAUUCCCCCUUGGGAUGCCUUUUAGCAAAUCAGCACCCGAACUGAAAAGCCCUAAACUUGUGCACCUUUGCAGUAAAACUUGACCUCGAUACCCC